UACGUAGGGGGGCUAGCGUUGUCCGGAAUCAUUGGGCGUAAAGCGCGUGUAGGCGGUUCGGUAAGUCCGCUGUGAAAGUCGGGGGGCUCAACCCUCGGAGGCCGACCGAUACUGUCGGGCUAGAGUCCGGAAGAGGCGAGUGGAAUUCCUGGUGUAGCGGUGAAAUGCGCAGAUAUCAGGAGGAACACCAAUGGCGAAGGCAGCUCGCUGGGACGGUACUGACGCUGAGGCGCGAAAGCGUGGGGGAGCAAACAGG
rnacentral:rRNA from 1 species